rnacentral:rRNA from 1 species
CGGGAGGCAGCAGUGCGGAAUAUUGCACAAUGGGCGCAAGCCUGAUGCAGCGACGCCGCGUGGAGGAAGAAGGUCUUCGGAUUGUAAACUCCUGUUGAGUGGGAAGAAAGACGGCUGGUUAAUACCCAGUUGGGAUGACGGUACCACUCGAGGAAGCACCGGCAAACUUCGUGCCAGCAGCCGCGGUAAUACGAAGGGUGCGAGCGUUAUUCGGAGUUAUUGGGCGUAAAGGGCGCGUAGGCGGUCCACUAAGUCAGCUGUUAAAGACCUCGGCUUAACCGAGGAAAAGCAGGUGGUACUGGAGGGCUAGAGGACAGAAGAGAGAAGUGG